UACAGAGGGGGCGAGCGUUAAUCGGAUUUACUGGGCGUAAAGCGCGCGUAGGUGGCCAAUUAAGUCAAAUGUGAAAUCCCCGAGCUUAACUUGGGAAUUGCAUUCGAUACUGGUGGGCUAGAGUAUGGGAGAGGAUGGUGGAAUUCCAGGUGUAGCGGUGAAAUGCGUAGAGAUCUGGAGGAAUACCGAUGGCGAAGGCAGCCAUCUGGCCUAAUACUGACACUGAGGCGCGAAAGCAUGGGGAGCAAACAGG
rnacentral:rRNA from 1 species